GUACUGGCUUCAGCAGCAUCUAUUCUAAAAUUAGAAUGAAAGAGAGAAGAUUAGUCUGGCCCCUGCACAAGGAUGACAUGCAAAUUCAUGAAGCAUUCCAUUAAAUU